ACAACAGUAUGGUAUCAAGUUAUCUUGUUUUUUUUAGUUAUUAUUAAUUUUAAUUUCCAAUAAAAUUGAGGAAGAGAAAAAAAAAACCAUUAUGCUAUCAAGUUAUGAAUGAUUAUUUAUCAAAAUAUAUGAAAAGGUUUUAUUCAAACAAGAAUGUAUCCUUUCCUUUCUUUUCCUUUCUCUUCUAAUCUUUUUUUUUCUUCUCUCUCCUCUUUGUCCAAACGGAGCCUAAGAGCUCGUGACAGAUCUGAAAAGCAUUGUCCGUCCUGGGAUCCUUUGCGAGUUUUUGCAGAAGAUUAGAGUUAUUGGUCGCCUCUUUAACGUUAUCUUACUGUGCUGACGAAAUCAAUUGAUGCAAGACGGAAUAAAUGGAUGACGCAGUCUAGCCGGAAUGGAUUUCGUGUUCGUCAUUCAAACGUCCAUCUUGUCGCCGAAAUCCAUGGUGGUCGAUUGUGUUGUUUGAACCCAUGGAUUUACCAUUAUACAUUCCAUUAUCGUCGGACUCCAUGGUCGUCGGCAGAAGGAACUGAUAAGUGAAUCCAUAAAACGGGUAAGAUAUACCUCUCUCGUUUGAAUAUAAUAUGAUGUCUCCUUAAUUCUGAAUCCUUCCUCCAUUGUUCUUUCAAGGUACAUACAUAUUUUUUUUAUUUUGAAAAUGGGUACAAUCCAUUUCAAGCGAUUGGUUUGUUUUGUGGAAAACUAUCAAUUUCUGAAGAGAACACCGCAUUCGGCAGCUGUUUUUCAAAAACGUUUUCUCAAAACAGAAACAGAAACUGUUUCUGCUACUGCUGCUGCUGCUGAAUCAUCAUCCUUCACUCUUCGAUACCUUGUGGACUCAUGUGGGCUUCCCUAUAAAACUGCCCUUUCAACUUCCCAAAAACUCAAAUUGGAAGAAAAGAAUUCGGAGCAACCUGAAUCUGUCAUAACCCUUUUGAAAUCCCUUGAAUUCUCCGAUGACCAAAUUGCCAAACUGAUUGUAAAAAACCCCCCUGUCCUCCAAUACAAAAUAAACAGCAAUCUUAAGCCCAAACUGCAGUACCUUAUAGAUAUUGGCUUUGUCGGUUCAUUUCUCCCCGAACUAAUUCUCAAAAAUCCCUACAUUUUAGGUAGAAGCCUGACUGGUCACAUAAAACCCUCAAUUGAUUUUCUCAAGACAUACCUUGAGACUGAUGACAACGUUGUAGCUGCUCUUAGGCGCUCAUCCUGGCUCCUCACCUCCGAUUUCAAGGGAACUAUGACAAAUAUUAAUUUCUUGUUAAGUGAAGGGGUGCCCCAUUGCAGUAUAUCCAAAUUGAUCUUGUUGCAGCCGAGAGUUAUACAGCAAAAGUUAGAUAGGAUGGUCUAUGCAGUUAACACCGUCAGAAAUUUGGGUUAUAAACCGAGUGCUCCCAUGUUCCUGCCUGCUGUUCGAGUAAUGGUCUCAAUGAAUGAUUCGACUUGGAAAAGGAAAGUUGAAUUGCUUAAAAGCUUUGGGUGGUCUGAUGAAGAAAUAUUUAUAGCGUUUAAGCGUUGCCCACUUUAUUUGGAAUGUUCGGAGGAGAAAAUCAAGAGCAUGAUGGAUUUUUAUGUGAAUACUGUGAAGUUGGAACCAUCAGUCAUGGUUGCUUACCCCAUUCUUCUUAAGUUCGCAAAGGAUACGAGAAUUCUCCCAAGGUAUAAUGUUAUAAAGGUUUUAGAGUCGAAGAAACUGCUUAAGGAAAACAAGAAGGUUACUUGGAUAUUUUGCCAACCUGAGAAGAAGUUCUUGGAUAUGUAUGUGAAUAAGCAUUUGGACAAAGUCCCAAGGUUGAUGGACAUCUAUCGUGGCAUCAUUGUGGCUGACAAAAUUGAUGCUUAGUUUUGAAGAAAGAACUACUUUAUACAGAAGCUGGGUUGUUGAAGUAUCUUUGCUGAGAGAUGGUAGCAGAGCCCAUUUGGGGCAGUCAGAAAUUUUGAUGUUUAUGAUACUGGAAAAUACACGUGUGGGAUUAGAGCGCCUUAUAUGUUCGUCGAGGCUGCAAAAGUUGAGUCACAAAGUCAAAAACGUGAAGCAAAUUUCUUGGUUAUCAACAUCUUCAGUUUCCAUCUGCUUGACAUCAAAAGUAUUGAAUCCAAAAGAAUUGGCUUCCUUUUCAGCAUUUGAGCAUUAAGAUUGUUUUUACGUUGUGUUGGGAAAUGCAGUAAUCAUCAGAAACAUGUGUUUCAAUCGGUUUAGUGAUUUGAUCAUUCUGCAA